rnacentral:rRNA from 1 species
AACGUAGGAGACAAACGUUAUCCGGAGUUACUGGGCGUAAAGGAGCGUGUAGGCGGCCAGGUAGGUUCUGCUGUGAAAACGUCGAGGCUACCAACCGUCGAGACGUCGGGCGGAAACCAUCUGGCUAGAGUCCGGAAGAGGAGAGUGGAAGUUCCGUGGUGUAGCGGUGAAAUGCGCAGAUAUCAGGAGGAACGACCGGUGGCGAAGGCGGGUCGAUCUGGGCGAACAACUGACGCUGAGGAGCGAAAGCGUGGGGAGCGAACAGG